UUUUAAAUUUAAUAUCCUUAUUUUUAAAAAUAUUUUAUUUUAGAGAUAAUUUCAUAAAGCUUUCUGUAAAUAUAUCAAACAGCAGAUAUAUCCCUAUAAAUUCAUGUUGUCAGAUUUAUCCUUCAAAAAAUUCUAACAGUUUUAAAUAUAUCCCUAGCUGCUGUUAGUGUCAUAGUGUCCGUUAGAAAAAUAUAGUUAACAACAGAUAAAAUGCUUAACCUUGGUUAGUAAAUAAGAUAAAUUGAUCUUUUUAGCCCUUUGGUAAUUAAUAUACCUUCUUUUCUAAAUCAAAAUUCUAGUUUGAUUAAAAUUCUAGUAAUGGAAACUCGUCUUUUUCUUCCUCAUGCUAGUUUCGAACUCAUAACUAGAGUUUCUCCAUCCUCAUUUAUCUACGAGGUGUUUUGAUUCUUCCAUGUCGACCGCCGGGGAAUCAGUAUUAGAUAGGUAAAAGAGAAAAUGAGUGAAAAAAGAGGCAGAGAAAAUGUUACAAUAAUGGUGAAUUAGAUUAGUUUUUGUAGAGAAAAAAAAUGACUAUUGAUAAUUUUUUGGAAGACAUUUCUACACGAUUUGAACAGUCGGAGUUUUUUGAGGAAUAUAUUUCUAAUAGCAAAAUAAAUAUUUCACUUAUAUUCUGUUAAAAAAUAAAUAGCGGGCUAACGGUAACAAACUAGAUGAAUAAAACUGAACAUCACUGGACUUUUGAAGGGAUAAAUUUGAAAGCUUAAUUUAUAGAAAUAUAUCUGCUAUUUGAUGUGUUUACAGAAAGCUUUAUAAAAUUAUCUCUUUAUUUUAAUAAAUAAUUGGCUGAAAAAAUUAUUAUACAAUAUACCAUAAAACAUUUAUUUUUCUCAUAUUUUCAAUCUAUUGAUUUAGUGAUAUCAUUGAAAUAGAAUUAAUGGUCCGAAAAUGCAUAUAGUUUUUAUAAAAUUAUCUCUUUAUUCACAAAUGCAUCACAUCUAUCAUUAAAAUUGUUAAUUUUGAGAUCUUUUGAUCACUAGCCAAAUGAUGUCGAAAAAUUAUGAAAUUUAGUUUUCAAAUACUUUUAAUAGUGUAGAUCAAGUCUAACGGAGCCGAUUGUCGAUUUGGAAGCUGUAUCAUUGAAAACAACUUGAUAACACGGAGGCUUCCGUGCUACCGAUAGUAUACCAGCCUAGCGUGUGUUCUCUCUCUAUCUCUCUCUCUCUCUCUCUCUCUCUCUCUAUAUAUAUAUAUAUAUAAUAUUUGCUACAAACAAAAGUUUUGA
rnacentral:lncRNA from 1 species